rnacentral:rRNA from 1 species
CGUAGUUAAUUCUGCUAGUAGUUAUAUGCUUGUCUUAAGAUUAAGCUAUGCAUGUCUAAGUAUAAGCAAGUCUAUACCGUGGCGAACUGCGAAUGGCUUAUUAGAUCGUUAUCGUUUAUUUAAUAGUACUUACUACUUAAUAUAGUAAUUUGGAGGCUAAUACAUGCUAAAACCCUAACUUUAGAAGGGGUGUAUUUAUUAGAUAAAAACCAACGCCUUUAGGGCUUCUUACUAUGAUUGUCUGAUCAACUCUUUAGCGUACGAGUAGGUUAAAUAACGGUUUAUUCUCGACGAUUCUUACAUUAACGUUAGAUAACCCUAUGCUUACAGUAGUUUAACGGGUAAUAGGGAAUCCGAUUUGUAACUUCUAGAGAGGGAGCCUAGAAACGCUACUACAUCCAAGGAAGCAGCAGGCGCGCAAAUUAUGCGAUCCUAACAUAGGGAGGUAGUGACAAUAAAUACUAAUACGGCUCUUUUGGGUCUUGUAAUUAGAAUAAGUACAAUUUAAACCUCUUAACGAGGAACAAUUAGAGGGCAAGUCUGGUGCUAGCAGCCGCAGUAAUUCCGCUCUAAUAGCGUAUAUUAAAGUUGUUGCAGUUAAAAGCUUGUAGUUAAACUUAGGUCUGGCUGGCAGUGCGCUUACUGCGUGUACUUAUCCGCUAGGCCUUCCGUCUCUAGAGAACCUUAUGCCUUUACUAGGCGUGUUAGGACUAGGACUUUACUAGUUGAAAUUAGAGUGUUAAAGCAGGCCUUUGCUUAAAAUACGUUAGCAUGAAUAAUAGAAUAGGACGUACAGUCCUAUUUUGUUAGUUUCUAGAAGGUGCAUGUAAUAACAUUAAUAGGGACAGUUAGCGGCAUUAGUAUUUAAUUGUUAGAGGUGAAAUUCUUAGAUUUAUUAAAGACUACUGCAAAGCAUUUGCUAAGGAUGUUUUCAUUAAUUAGUGAACAAAGUUGGGAUUAAAAUAAUUAGAUACUGUCGUAGUUAACUGUAAACGUGCUAACUAGGGAUUAGGCGAUGUUCUUUUCUGACUGCUUAGCACCUUACAAGAAAUCAUUUAGGUUCUAGGGGGAGUAUAGUCGCAAGGCUGAAACUUAAAGAAAUUAACAGAAGGGCACUACUAGGCGUGGAGCCUGCGGCUUAAUUUAAUUGGCAUAUAGGAAACUUACUAGGUCGCCACUGAAAUAAGAAAUUGAUAGAUUAAGAGCUCUUUCUUGAUUUUAGGUGGUGGUGCAUGGCUGUUCUUAGUUAGUAGAGUGAUUUGUCUGCUUAAUGCGGUAACGAAACGAGACCUUAACCUGCUAAAUAGCGAGGCGCUUUGGCUAGUUGCUAGCGUGAGGGACUAUCCGCUUAAGCUAAUAGAAGUUUAAGGCAAUAACAGGUCUGUGAUCCCUUAGAUGUUCUAGGCUGCACGCUACUAAUAGAGCUAACAGUUCUUUAAUGACUAAAGGUCUAGGUAAUCUUGUUAAACCUCGUUAUGCUAGGGAUAGAGUAUUGCAAUUAUUGGCUCUUUAACAAGGAUGCCUAGUAAGCGCGUGUUAUUAGCAUGCGUUAAUGCGUCCUGCCCUUUUGUACACACUGCCUGUUGCUACCUACUAAUUAAAUAGCUUAGUGAGGCCUUUAAGGGCCUGUAGGGGAGGUUAGCAACACGAGCACCCGAAAGUUUGAUAAAUCGUUAUUUAGAGGAAGUAAAAGUUGUAACAAGGUUCGGCUAUGAACCUGUGAAG